CACACGACUCUCGGCAACGGAUAUCUCGGCUCUCGCAUCGAUGAAGAACGUAGCGAAAUGCGAUACCUGGUGUGAAUUGCAGAAUCCCUCGAACCAUCGAGUCUUUGAACGCAAGUUGCGCCCGAGGCCACUCGGCCGAGGGCACGCCUGCCUGGGCGUCACGC
rnacentral:rRNA from 1 species